UGUUGACACAGCGCGUGAGGAAGCGUUCUUUCUUCUAAUGAAAGCAGGGAUGUUUGACUCACCCGGCAGUGAC
rnacentral:tRNA from 1 species